AGCGCACCAGCUAGACUGAAAUGGCCCGAAGGCGUCGUGUAAUCCUGCGUCAACAGCUUACGUGUAGCCAUCGCACGUGCAAGGGGAUGUCGCUAUGUCCUUGUAACACCCCCUUAAUAUUGAGAUAAUAGAAUAUUUUGUGGCGAC
rnacentral:lncRNA from 1 species